AUUGAACGCUGGCGGCAUGCCUUACACAUGCAAGUCGAACGGCAGCACGGGUGCUUGCACCUGGUGGCGAGUGGCGAACGGGUGAGUAAUACAUCGGAACAUGUCCUGUAGUGGGGGAUAGCCCGGCGAAAGCCGGAUUAAUACCGCAUACGAUCCACGGAUGAAAGCGGGGGACCUUCGGGCCUCGCGCUAUAGGGUUGGCCGAUGGCUGAUUAGCUAGUUGGUGGGGUAAAGGCCUACCAAGGCGACGAUCAGUAGCUGGUCUGAGAGGACGACCAGCCACACUGGGACUGAGACACGGCCCAGACUCCUACGGGAGGCAGCAGUGGGGAAUUUUGGACAAUGGGCGAAAGCCUGAUCCAGCAAUGCCGCGUGUGUGAAGAAGGCCUUCGGGUUGUAAAGCACUUUUGUCCGGAAAGAUAUCCUUGACUCUAAUACAGUCGGGGGAUGACGGUACCGGAAGAAUAAGCACCGGCUAACUACGUG
rnacentral:rRNA from 1 species